CACCGUUUCAGUGGCAUUUAAAUCCCGGGCGCUCCUCCAUCAAGGUGACGCGCAGUCGCCCCCCCGGCAGCGGCAGUGGCUGCGGCAGCGGCAACGGCAGGAGCCCCGCUCUGGGGCCGGG
rnacentral:lncRNA from 1 species